rnacentral:lncRNA from 10 species
CGGAGACCUCUCCCUAGCCUGUGGGUAGCUCUACGAAGUUCCCCGAGGAGCGUCCUCCUGGCCAGCCCCAGCUCUCUGCCCGCCCACAAAGCCAGGGAGAAGGCACCAGGCCUCUGACUCAGCGGGAAGGGGCCGUUCGAGGCCCACGGGGGUAGGAGCGAGCGGCGAGGGAUGCCCUUGGCCAGCGCCUCCCCACAGGCUGUUUGUCUCUAUGAAGCAGGAUUACUGGUCUCAUGUCCUCACAUUUUCAUGAUCAACCAGGAAAGAAUCGCUCUCCUCCUCCAGUUAAAAAGCCCAGAGAGGGGCUCUGAUUGGUCUGACUGGGUCACGUGCCUAACCCUGGACCAAUCCCUGUGACCUGUGGGGCGGGAUCAGGUGAGAGUUGGGCUCCAAUUUGGACCACAUGGCCGGAGCAGGUGGGAAGCUGAGGGGAUGUUUUCCAGACAGGGGACGCUGAUAGGGCCACCACAAACGAAGUGUCC